GCCAAUGGUCGAAGGCGGCCACAAUAAAUACACCAUAAUAUUAUUGAUGAUGGAUCAUAGAUAAUCUCUAUGGAUGGAUGUAGUACGUUUUUUCAGAUUGCUGAGGAAUUCUGUUUCCCCUGGUUAUCUGAAGAGUCAUGUGGUGCUACAGCAGCUGGCAACAUUUGUAAGACGAUUUCAUGGGGUACAUGUAGGAUCUCUACCACCAGAAAGAAUAAGAAACUUUGGAAUAAUAGCUCAUGUUGAUCAUGGAAAAAGCACAUUGGCCGAUAGACUUUUGGAGUCUACAGGUGUGAUUGACCCAAACAUUUCUAAUCAACAAGUACUGGAUCGUUUACCAGUGGAGAGGGAAAGAGGAAUCACUGUGAAAGCUCAAACAGCUACAAUGUUUUACCAAAUGCAGCGAGGAGGAAUGUUUAUGAUGAACUUGAUCGAUACACCUGGCCAUGUAGACUUCAGUUAUGAGGUGUCUCGUUCGCUGGCAGCUUGUCAAGGAGUACUCUUGGUAGUUGAUGGUCAACAGGGUGUUCAAGCUCAAACUGUCGCCAACUUUUUGUUAGCUUCUGAGGCUGGCCUUACAGUUAUACCAGUGAUAAACAAAAUCGACCUUUCUCACGCUGAUAUUCCCAAAGUUACAGAGCAGAUGAGAAACGCUUUUGGUUUUAAUGAAGCUGACAUUAUUCAGGUAUCAGCAAAAAUAGGGACUGGUAUCCCUCAGCUUUUACCUGCAAUCGUAGAGAGAGUACCAAGCCCACCAGGAAUUCCUAGUGCUUCCUUGCGAAUGCUACUGUUUGAUAGCUGGUUCAACCAUUACAAAGGAGUGGUGUGUCUGGUUGCUAUUGUUGAUGGGUGUGUCUCAAAAGGUGACGUAGUGCAGUCCGCUCACACUGGUCUGUCAUAUGAAGUUGCUGAAGUGGGCAUCCUGCAGACCAAGGAAGUCAAGAGCUACUCUCUCCACACUGGACAAGUUGGAUACAUGAUGAUGGGGAUGAAGAAUGUCAAAGAUGCAUUCAUCGGUGAUACUUUCCACCAUGCUGGUACCCAAAUCACUCCACUUCCAGGAUUCACACGAGCUAAACCCAUGGUUUUUGCCGGUGUUUUCCCUAUGGACAGUAACGAUUUCCCAUAUCUGAGAACUGCAGUUGAUAAGUUGGCACUCAAUGAUAGCAGUGUGAGUGUCUACCCAGAUUCAAGUGUGGCUUUAGGUCAGGGGUGGAGAUUGGGCUUUCUUGGACUUUUACAUAUGGAUGUGUUCAGACAGCGGCUAGAAGAGGAAUACGAUGCUUCUGUGAUUGUUACUUCUCCAAGUGUGUCAUACAAAGCAAUUCUACGUACUGGCGAAGAAGUGGUUAUACUUACUCCCUCACAAUUUCCUGCAAGGCACACUGUUGAAAAGUACCUUGAACCAGUUGUUCUGGGAACACUAGUUUGUCCUUUGGAAUAUCUUGGCAAGAUGCUAAAUUUAUCAGAGAGUCGCCGUGGUAUGCAGCAGGAGAUGCUAUACCUUGAUGAAACCAGAGUGUUGCUCAAGUAUAUCAUGCCUCUAAGUGAAGUAGUACUCGAUUUCUACGAUGCUGUCAAAUCAGAAUCAUCAGGCUACGCAAGCUUCGACUAUGAAGAUUUUGGAUUUCAGCCUGCUUCCCUGGUCAAGUGAUACACAACGGUAUCAAAACCGUAUUAAGUGCAACUAAGGACUUAAAAGUAGAAGAGGGCAUGGCGACUCACACUAUUCUCAGACUCACCUAACUUCAUACUGUAGCCGUACGAGGGAUACGUAGACACAAACUAAAAACUAAAAAUGGCUGUCAAAAGUUUAUUUCAAGAAGUCUGUUCUCCACAACCUCAAAAGAAGCCUACUGGGGGUUCCACAGGAGCUAAAGUUCGAGACUGAAGAUACCAAGCAAGUCUUUGUAGGUAUAAUUGACAGUGCUAAGCAUUGUCUUGCUGCCAGAGAUGCAUUGGCCCAACAUGAGGAUCUGACAAACUGAUGCUGUUGUUGAAGACGUGGACAUAAUAACUCAAGUCGCGUUGAAGGACGCUUUGAAGGACUGCGACUGCCUUUGCUUGUUGACAGUCUCCCUGGGUACACCAUCAACUUAUGUAGAAUAUAAUCGAACUUUCGGUGAAUUUCCACAAUGGCACAGUUUCAAUGCCGUCUAUUAUGCAAGAAAGCAAGCUUCCUAGCUCUUCCACAACGUUCCCUGGAGUAUGCUCACUGUAGCUGACCUGGAGCUGAAAAGAUUCCUUUAUUGUGCAUAGCCUUUUGCUGUAUCUAUUCAUAAAGUUUUUGUCAGCCAUUAUGAUAAUAAUUUUAUUUUUUUGUUUUUUGUUUCUGCUUCUGGUAAAAAUGAAAAACUACCAAGAAUGUAUUUCCCUUCCCUUUGUGUAUAUUUUUUUAGUGUU